rnacentral:rRNA from 1 species
UGAACGCUAGCGACAGGCCUAACACAUGCAAGUCGAGGGGCAGCACAAGGAGCAAUCUGAGGUGGCGACCGGCGCACGGGUGAGUAACACGUAUGCAACCUGCCUGUAAGCGGGGAAUAACCCGUUGAAAGACGGACUAAUACCGCAUAAUACUAAAUUACUGCAUGGUAAUUUAUUUAAACAUUUAUGGCUUACAGAUGGGCAUGCGCAUGAUUAGCUAGUUGGAGAGGUAACGGCUCCCCAAGGCAACGAUCAUUAGGGGUUCUGAGAGGAAGGUCCCCCACACUGGUACUGAGACACGGACCAGACUCCUACGGGAGGCAGCAGUGAGGAAUAUUGGUCAAUGGACGAGAGUCUGAACCAGCCAAGUCGCGUGCAGGAAGAAUGUUCCCUAUGGAUUGUAAACUGCUUUUGCGAGGGGAAUAAAGUGCAUCACGUGUGAUGUUUUGUAUGUACUCUGCGAAUAAGGAUCGGCUAACUCCGUGCCAGCCGCUGC